rnacentral:tRNA from 1 species
GCGGGUGUGCCGGAGUGGUCAAACGGACGUGGUUUAGGCCCACGGGGCUUAGUGCCUACGCAGGUUCGAAUCCUGUCACCCGCA